rnacentral:rRNA from 1 species
UACGAAGGGGGGCUAGCGUUGCUCGGAAUCACUGGGCGUAAAGCGCACGUAGGCGGCUUUCUAAGUCAGGGGUGAAAUCCUGGAGCUCAACUCCAGAACUGCCUUUGAUACUGGGGAGCUCGAGUCCGGAAGAGGUGAGUGGAACUCCGAGUGUAGAGGUGAAAUUCGUAGAUAUUCGGAAGAACACCAGUGGCGAAGGCGGCUCACUGGUCCGGUACUGACGCUGAGGUGCGAAAGCGUGGGGAGCAAACAGG